rnacentral:rRNA from 1 species
UACGUAGGUGGCAAGCGUUGUCCGGAUUUAUUGGGUUUAAAGGGUGCGUAGGCGGUUUUUUAAGUCAGCGGUGAAAUACUUCAGCUUAACUGGAGAGGUGCCAUUGAUACUGGGAAACUUGAGUACUGAUGAGGUAGGCGGAAUGGACGGUGUAGCGGUGAAAUGCGUAGAUAUGCGGAGGAACACCAGUGGCGAAGGCGACUUACUGGACUGUAACUGACGCUGAGGCAUGAAAGCGUGGGGAGCAAACAGG